AAGGAUCAUUAGUGAAUAUUAGCGCAUCUCUUCGGAGAGCGUGACCUCCACUUUCUAACUCUGUGCAUUUAUUGGCGGAAGAACUUGAGCAAUCGAGUACUUCUGCGGCUCAUUUAUAACACUAGUUAAAGUAUGUAACGAAAUAUCGAAACAAAAAAAACUUUCAACAACGGAUCUCUUGGCUUGCUCAUCGAUGAAGAACGCAGCGAAAUGUGAUAAGUAAUGUGAAUUGCAGAAUUCAGUGAAUCAUCGAAUCUUUGAACGCACCUUGCGCUCCCUGGUAUUCCGGGGAGCAUGUCUGUUUGAGUGUCAUGAACUCUUCAACCCACCAGUUUCUUGUAGACUGAUUGGUGUUUGGAUUUUGAGCGUUGCUGGUCUUCGGAUCUAGCUCGUUCGUAAUAUAUUAGCAUCUCUAAUUCGAACUCGGAUUGACUCAGUGUAAUAGACUAUUCGCUGAGGACACGCUCUUGUAGUGUGGCCGAAUGAGAUCUCAGUAGAAGCUUCCAACUACUUUAGUCAACUUUAGAUUAGACCUCAGAUCAGGCAGGAUUACCCGCUGAACUUAA
rnacentral:rRNA from 1 species